CCGAACCGUCGACACGAGUUGUUGCUGGCCCCUCUGACGGGGGCAUGUGCACGCUCUGUUUACACAUCCACUCACACCUGUGCACCCUCUGCAGUUCUGUGGCCUGAAGGGACCCUGUCUCUUCUGUCGCGGUUCUGUGUUUUUAUACACACCCUGUAGUGAAGUCUUAUGGAAUGUGUGCCGUGUUUAACGCAAUGAAAUA
rnacentral:misc_RNA from 1 species